UGCGGGGGGUGGGAGUAGGCUGCCCGGCCUCAGCGCUGCGUCCUGCCCCCCCUCCCGCAG
rnacentral:pre_miRNA from 1 species